GGCCCUAUCGUCUAGCGGCUUAGGACGCCAGGUUCUCAUCCUGGUAACACCGGUUCAAAUCCGGUUGGGGCCG
rnacentral:tRNA from 1 species